rnacentral:rRNA from 1 species
CCUACGGGUGGCUGCAGUGAGGAAUAUUGGUCAAUGGGCGGGAGCCUGAACCAGCCAAGUCGCGUGCGGGACGAAGGUCCUAUGGAUUGUAAACCUCUUUUGUCGGGGGACAACGGCGCCCACGGGUGGGCGGAUGAGUGUACCCGAAGAAAAAGCAUCGGCUAACUCCGUGCCAGCAGCCGCGGUCAUACGGAGGGUGCGAGCGUUAUCCGGAUUUAGUGGGUUUAAAGGGUGCGUAGGCGGACAGUCAAGUCAGCGGGAAAAAUGCGGUGCGCAACGCCGUACAGCCGUUGAAACUGGCAGUCUUGAGUGGGCGAGAAGUAUGCGGAAGGCGUGGGGUAGCGGUGAAAUGCAUAGAUAUCACGCAGAACUCCGAUUGCGAAGGCAGCAUAACGGCGCCCGACUGACGCUGAGGCACGAAAGCGUGGGUAUCGAACAGGAUUAGAUACCCCUGUAGUC